UUCGGUGGUCAUAGCGUGAGGGAAACGCCCGGUUACAUUUCGAACCCGGAAGCUAAGCCUCAAAGCGCCGAUGGUACUGCAGGGGGGACCCUGUGGGAGAGUAGGACGCCGCCGAAC
rnacentral:rRNA from 1 species